rnacentral:rRNA from 1 species
AUUGAACGCUGGCGGCAGGCCUAACACAUGCAAGUCGAACGAGUGGCGGACGGGUGAGUAAUGUCUGGGAAACUUCCUGAUGGCGGGGGCUAACUACUGGAAACGGUAGCUAAUACCGCAUACCAUCAGAUGUGCCCAGAUGGGCUUAGCGAGUUGGUGUGGUAACGGCUCACCAAGGCGCCGAUCCCUAGCUGGUCUUAGAGGAUGAUCAGCAACACUGGAACUGAGACACGGUCCAGACUCCUACGGGAGGCAGCAGUGGGGAAUAUUGCACAAUGGGCGCAAGUCUGAUGCAGCCAUGCCGCGUGUAUGAAGAAGGCCUUAGGGUUGUAAAGUACUUUCAGCGGGGAGGCGUUACCCGCAGAAGAAGCACCGGCUAACUCCGUGCCAGCAGCCGCGGUAAUUC